rnacentral:rRNA from 1 species
GCAGUCGAGCGGUAGAGAGAAGCUUGCUUCUCUUGAGAGCGGCGGACGGGUGAGUAAUGCCUAGGAAUCUGCCUGGUAGUGGGGGAUAACGUUCGGAAACGGACGCUAAUACCGCAUACGUCCUACGGGAGAAAGCAGGGGACCUUCGGGCCUUGCGCUAUCAGAUGAGCCUAGGUCGGAUUAGCUAGUUGGUGGGGUAAUGGCUCACCAAGGCGACGAUCCGUAACUGGUCUGAGAGGAUGAUCAGUCACACUGGAACUGAGACACGGUCCAGACUCCUACGGGAGGCAGCAGUGGGGAAUAUUGGACAAUGGGCGAAAGCCUGAUCCAGCCAUGCCGCGUGUGUGAAGAAGGUCUUCGGAUUGUAAAGCACUUUAAGUUGGGAGGAAGGGUUGUAGAUUAAUACUCUGCAAUUUUGACGUUACCGACAGAAUAAGCACCGGCUAACUC